rnacentral:rRNA from 1 species
GAUGAACGCUGGCGGCGUGCCUAAUACAUGCAAGUCGAGCGAACGGACGAGGAGCUUGCUCCUUUGACGUUAGCGGCGGACGGGUGAGUAACACGUGGAUAACCUACCUAUAAGACUGGGAUAACUUCGGGAAACCGGAGCUAAUACCGGAUAAUAUAUUGAACCGCAUGGUUCAAUAGUGAAAGACGGUUUUGCUGUCACUUAUAGAUGGAUCCGCGCCGCAUUAGCUAGUUGGUAAGGUAACGGCUUACCAAGGCAACGAUGCGUAGCCGACCUGAGAGGGUGAUCGGCCACACUGGAACUGAGACACGGUCCAGACUCCUACGGGAGGCAGCAGUAGGGAAUCUUCCGCAAUGGGCGAAAGCCUGACGGAGCAACGCCGCGUGAGUGAUGAAGGUCUUCGGAUCGUAAAACUCUGUUAUUAGGGAAGAACAAAUGUGUAAGUAACUGUGCACGUCUUGACGGUACCUAAUCAGAAAGCCACGGCUAACUACGUG